GGGGUGAGGUUCUUUGCCUCACCUCUGUUGGCCCCCAAAUUUUAGCUGAAUGACCAUCACAAGCAGAAGGGAGGAAGAUACACCAAGCCAAUUGAUGGCUCCUUUUGGAAAAAUUGUACCACUGAUGACACCAUCAGCAAAAAUACCCCAACACUACCACAAGUCGCUGCACCAACAGAUAGUUCACUAUGCAUACAAGUGAGUUCACAAUGCAUACAAGUGAUACAUAGUCCAGGCAAGUUCUGCAAGCAGUUCAGUGAUGGCUAUUGCAGAAGCUGUAGAUUGGUUUUAUCUUUGUCUUCACCGGCACUGGGAUGAAGAUAGGAAUUCUGGCAAUAAUGGCUAAAGAAAAAAUUAUGUAACAUUCCAGAAGGCACUAAAAGAAAACAAUUUUCUGAACAAUUUACAUUAUCUUGAACAGAAUUAUUAAAUAUAAUGAAAAGGAAAGGUGAAAGUAAACAAACAGAUCUGUUAACCUCCUUUUUUGUUCACAUAUUAAAACAAUCCUCAACAGCUGUUUACCCAAUUUAAAUUAAACCAUUUAAAUCACGUGAAUAAAAAAAAAUUUGGAUCCAUUUUUUCAUGAGCGCUCAUCAUAUAUGAUAUAUGGACAUACGUACAUACAAACAUACAACACAAAACACAAGUGUGCACACAUAAUAUAAUACAUACAACACAUAACAUAAUAGUAAAGGCCUUAUAACUUUUUACAGGUGAAAUCUCCAUUGCAAUGUUUAAAAACUCUAUAGUCAAAAAAUAGAACUGAUCAGCAAAACAUUAACCUAGGUCUGUAUGAGCUCAAAAAACAAAAUAGAACUUCAUGAUGUGGGAAAGGGCAAUAAUAAAAUAGAUAUUGAAAAAAAAAA
rnacentral:lncRNA from 1 species